rnacentral:rRNA from 1 species
UACGGAGGGUGCGAGCGUUGUCCGGAAUCACUGGGCGUAAAGGGCGCGUAGGCGGCGCGGGGAGUCAACGGUGAAAGCUCGGCGCUCAACGCCGAGUCGGCCGUCGAUACUCCCGUGCUUGAGCACUGUAGAGGCAGGUGGAAUUCCGGGUGUAGCGGUGGAAUGCGUAGAGAUCCGGAAGAACACCGGUGGCGAAGGCGGCCUGCUGGGCAGUAGCUGACGCUGAGGCGCGACAGCGUGGGGGGCAAACAGGG